GGACGAUUAGCGCAGCGGUAGCGCGUUCCCUUGACAUGGGAGAGGUCACAGGUUCAAUCCCUGUAUCGUCCACCA
rnacentral:tRNA from 1 species